GUUCAUGGUGACCAUGUUGCAAUGUCAAGCAAACAAACAUUAUAGCGGCAGAUUGGUUCGUCGUUCCUCACAGUGGUGGCAACUUGUCCAAGGUUUAAGGAAUAUAAAACUUCUCCAACUAUGGCCCUAACAUCAAGGGGAACGAGGCUCUAGUAAUCCACAGCUCGUGCCGAGAGGUCAUGACACUGGUUAAGUAUUGUUUCCACCAGAAAUUGAAUUUGGUAUUCUCUGAACCUUUAUUCUUUAGAAGGAGCUCGUUUACAACUCGAGCGCAAUUGCUUG